rnacentral:rRNA from 1 species
GACGAACGCUGGCGGCGUGCCUAAUACAUGCAAGUCGAGCGAAGUUUUUCUGGUGCUUGCACUAGAAAAACUUAGCGGCGAACGGGUGAGUAACACGUAAAGAACCUGCCUCAUAGACUGGGACAACUAUUGGAAACGAUAGCUAAUACCGGAUAACAGUAUUUCUCGCAUGAGAGAUAUUUAAAAGUUGGUUAUGCUAACACUAUGAGAUGGCUUUGCGGUGCAUUAGCUAGUUGGUGGGGUAAAGGCCCACCAAGGCGACGAUGCAUAGCCGACCUGAGAGGGUGAUCGGCCACACUGGGACUGAGACACGGCCCAGACUCCUACGGGAGGCAGCAGUAGGGAAUCUUCCGCAAUGGGCGAAAGCCUGACGGAGCAACGCCGCGUGAGUGAAGAAGGAUUUCGGUUCGUAAAGCUCUGUUGUUAGGGAAGAAUGGAUAUGUAGUAACUAUACAUGUAAGAGACGGUACCUAACCAGA